rnacentral:rRNA from 1 species
UAGGGAAUCUUCCACAAUGGACGCAAGUCUGAUGGAGCAACGCCGCGUGAGUGAAGAAGGUCUUCGGAUCGUAAAACUCUGUUGUUAGAGAAGAACAUGCAGGAGAGUAACUGUUCUUGUAUUGACGGUAUCUAACCAGAAAGCCACGGCUAACUACGUGUCAG